GGGAGCAAGCUGGCCCCAAGGGACUUGUUAAUAAAUAUGUGCUUUUUUCCCUUUCUGAUCUAUCCCAGAUUGCCCAUAAAUUAGGUAGCUUCUCUGUUGACCCACAGAAUUAUAUCAGGCAAUUUGAAUUUAUUACUGAUUGUUAUGAUCUGCAUUUUAAGGAUGUUUAUGUGAUUUUAAAUACCACCCUUAGCUCACAAGAGCGAAAUCAGCUGUGGCAGGCAGCUUGAGAAGAAGCUGAUCGCAGGCAUAGGGCAAACAAAACUGAAAACGACCCUGGGCCUGUUCCUGUGCCAGACCAAGAUCCUGACUGGAACUAUCAGAAUGGACAAGGUUCACAAAAACUACAUAAGAUGAUUGAGUGUCUCAUUGUGGGCCUUAAUAAGAUUACUCACAAACAUACAAAUUAUAAAAAGCUUUUAGAACAGGCCCAGGAGCCUAACAAAAAACCGGCUGUGUUUUUAAAUUGGCUUUGGGAAACCUUAAUCAAGUAUACUAAUGUAAACUUUCAUGAAGGGAUGAUUGUUGUUAACUCUUAUUUUAUUUCACAGUCUGCUCCUGAUAUUCGUGCAAAAUUACAAAAGGUUGAACAUGGCCCUCAAACUCCACAAGGGGAUCUACUUAAAUUAGCCUUCCGUGUCUUCAACAAUAGAGAUAAAGUUCAAAAAGAGGAGAAGCAAGCUCAAAAAUUAAAGUUUGCUAAAUAUCAGUCUGACCUCUUAGCAGUGGCACUCGGAGCUCCCAAGAUAAAAAAUCCACAAGGUGUGGCUGCCCGAGUCCCGCCCGGACCAUGCUUCAAGUGCAGCAAACAAGGACACUGGGCAAAAGACUGCCCUAACCCUGGCAUUCCUCUAGGGCCAUGUCCAUACUGCAACGUUAAGGGGCAUUGGAAGAGCAACUGUCCUAGCCGCCAGCAAGCGGGUAAGCCAUCCUCUAAUCCUUCACCCACGUAGGAGACUCCAUCAAUGCCAGAUUCGUCACUGACUGACCUGCUCGGACUGGCUGUGGAAGAUUGAUGGGGCUCGGGGCUCACAGCGCCCACUCUGGUAACCUUGUCGGAGCCCCGAGUCUCACUGGAGGUCUCAGUCUGACAUCCGUGCAUUCACCAGUGAAGUUGUCCUGGCUAAAACACCUGGCACCAGCAUCUACCUGGGCACCAACCUUCAUCCUUCAUCCUUCAACCUUCAUCCCGUCAACUCCCCUAGUACAGCGCCCCCUGCCAGCAGGAAGUAGUUAAAGAGAGAAAUCUUUGCCCCUUUUCAUAAUAAUAAUCAUAAGACGGGAUAUGAAAGAGUUUUGGCCUAGACAGGACACUGUAGCCAGGAAAGCAUCAACUGGAAGCAGGAAGCCCCUAUCUCCCCUGCCCCUAGGAAUUUAUCUGUGACGCCAUCUUCCCACCCCUGGGAAAUUUACCUAUGGCGCCAAACCUAGGACCAAUGGGCUCCCUGUGCAUCCCUAAUGCCCUCCUUAGGUUCCACCCCAAACCGAGGCUACUUACAUACCCCACCACGCCACGUGUCCGCCAGAGAGAUCGCCGGAUGCCAGCGGUGGGGAGUGCCAGCCAUCUCUCUCUGUGUUCUCAGAAUAAAUGCUGCUUUUUAUUUUAUA